rnacentral:snoRNA from 1 species
UUUCCAUGACGAUAACUUUGUCCAGUUCUGCUACUGAAUGCAAGUGGUGACAGCAAAGACUCUGAGAAAA